GCCAGUCAUGGUGGUGCAUGCCUGUAAUCCCAACCGCUAUGGAGGCUGAGGCAGGAGGUUCUCAAGUUCAAAGCCAACCUCCACAAAAGUGAGGUGCUAAGCAACUCAGUGAGACCCUGUCUCUA
rnacentral:sRNA from 1 species